CUGUGUACUCCUUUCAUUCACUUUUUCGGAAAAGAAAAUAUAUAAAAACAUGGCGGCUACAUCAGUGAAGGCUCGCAGUGUGCAGCGAUCUGAAGAAAUAAAGAUAAAAACACAGUCCGGCCUCCUUUCCUGACCCCACGAGCUGUGAGUUUCUGAGAAACAGGAUACAGAGACCAGGGGCUGGGUGUGGGGAGGGACACGUCGUCUGGUAAACAGGUUCGGAGUUUACCCCGCGACUAAAAAUAGAUAUAUAUCAGGGUACAAGCAGCUGUCUAUCAGGUUGACAUCAUUGAGCACUGACUCGCAUCGUGUGUUCACCUGGCAAGCCGAGCUGACUGUCGAGGGGGAGACCUCGACCUCUGGCCUUCAUAUUAACACAUCCUCCCGACAGCAUUGCACGCCGUACAAAUGUCGGGUCAACCCUCUCCGCGCCAUGUUUCUUUUGCAAAGGAGCAUCAUUCCGAGAAGUUUAAUGAAGAAAAAGAAAAUAGUUCGUCUACUGGAUCCGGGAUCCUGAAGGAGAGCCAAUCAGGACUAGGACAAGAUGUUUUCAACCUCACCUGGGACAAACUCCACACAGGUAU